rnacentral:rRNA from 1 species
GACGAACGCUGGCGGCGUGCCUAAUACAUGCAAGUUGAGCGCUGAAGGUUGGUACUUGUACCAACUGGAUGAGCAGCGAACGGGUGAGUAACGCGUGGGGAAUCUGCCUUUGAGCGGGGGACAACAUUUGGAAACGAAUGCUAAUACCGCAUAAAAACUUUAAACACAAGUUUUAAGUUUGAAAGAUGCAAUUGCAUCACUCAAAGAUGAUCCCGCGUUGUAUUAGCUAGUUGGUGAGGUAAAGGCUCACCAAGGCGAUGAUACAUAGCCGACCUGAGAGGGUGAUCGGCCACAUUGGGACUGAGACACGGCCCAAACUCCUACGGGAGGCAGCAGUAGGGAAUCUUCGGUAAUGGACGAAAGUCUGACCGAGCAACGCCGCGUGAGUGAAGAAGGUUUUCGGAUCGUAAAACUCUGUUGGUAGAGAAGAACGUUGGUGAGAGUGGAAAGCUCAUCAAGUGACGGUAACUACCCAGAAAGGGACGGCUAACUACGUG